GACGAACGCUGGCGGCGUGCUUAACACAUGCAAGUCGAGCGGAGCGGCGAACGGGUGAGUAACGCGUGAGUAACUGCCCCCCUCUCUGGGAUAACAGUUGGAAACGGCUGCUAAUACCGGAUAGUGGGGGAUGACUCGCGUCCUAUCGGCUUGUUGGUGGGGUAGUGGCCUACCAAGGCGACGACGGGUAGCCGGCCUGAGAGGGGGACCGGCCACAGUGGGCGGAGAGACGGCGCAAAGUCCAACGGGAGGCAGCGGUGGGGAAUAUUGCACAGUGGUGGAGACCCUGAUGCAGCAACGCCGGGUGCGGAAUGACGGCCUUCGGGUUGUAAACCGCUUUCAGCCAUGACGCGGUAGUGGCAGAAGAAGCACCGGCUAACUACGUGCCAGCAGCCGCGGUAAUAC
rnacentral:rRNA from 1 species